rnacentral:rRNA from 1 species
AUUGAACGCUGGCGGUAGGCCUAACACAUGCAAGUCGAACGGCAGCACAGGAGAGCUUGCUCUCUGGGUGGCGAGUGGCGGACGGGUGAGGAAUACAUCGGAAUCUACCUUUUCGUGGGGGAUAACGUAGGGAAACUUACGCUAAUACCGCAUACGACCUUCGGGUGAAAGCAGGGGACCUUCGGGCCUUGCGCGGAUAGAUGAGCCGAUGUCGGAUUAGCUAGUUGGCGGGGUAAAGGCCCACCAAGGCGACGAUCCGUAGCUGGGCUGAGAGGAUGAUCAGCCACACUGGAAGUGAGACACGCUCCAGACUCCUACGGGAGGCAGCAGUGGGGAAUAUUGGACAAUGGGCGCAAGCCUGAUCCAGCCAUGCCGCGUGGGUGAAGAAGGCCUUCGGGUUGUAAAGCCCUUUUGUUGGGAAAGAAAAGCAGCCAGUUAAUACCUGGUUGUUCUGACGGUACCCAAAGAAUAAGCACCGGCUAACUUCGUGCCAGCCGCCGCCGUAA